CUCGGACUGGAUUGCGUGCGCACAUAACACUAAACUAAGCUAAACAUCAUUCAGUUUACAAUUAUAACCUGAUGCUUGAUUUUCUGUGAUGAUAUAUUAAAAGCAUCAGAAAAUGCUGUUAGUUUUAUCUGAGGAGCACAAGGAGCAUUUAGGAUUCUUGUCAGAAGUGGAUCCUGCGGUUGUCGGUGAGUUCGGCAGAAUCGCUGUGGAGUUUCUGAAAAAGGGCUCAAACCCUAAAAUCUGAGGCAGCUGCACAUUUCGGAAGGGGAUUUCCAGGACUCUGUGCUGGUGCUGGGAUUCUCAGAGGAGCUCAGUGCACUUCUGCUCCAGCUGUAUUUAGAGAACAGGAGGAGAUCCGACAGAUCCUCAGCCUCCCGCAUUACCACAACCUGGAGGUGAUGCUCAGAUCUGACAAACAAACACGUGGCCAGCCCACCGUGACCCUGAAGCUCCACCUGGAGGACGGUGCGAGGCGCAGCGCCUGUGUCCUGCAGACGGAUCCCGCCACGCAGCGAGCGCUCAAGAGCAGCCGCCGCAUCCUCCACAACAUCAGAUAGAAGCGCCACGCUGCGUGUAAUGAGACGAGGAAGACCCUUUACUCGGGAUUAGACUUGUUUGCAUGAAUCUGACUGUAAACCAGUGAUGCUCCAGAUGUUUCUCAGAGACCAAUCAAUGCAGAUUUUGUUGGUUCAUUCGUGCCAUAAGUAUUAACAUAAGGACAGUUCACUCAAAAAUGAAAAUGCUGCCAUCCUUUACUCACCCUCAUGUUGUU